rnacentral:rRNA from 1 species
UCGGUACAAGAUGGUCCCGCGUUUGAUUAGCUAGUUGGUAGGUAACGGCUCACCAAGGCAACGAUCAGUAGCCGGCUUAGAGAGGAACGGCCACAUUGGGACUGAGACACGGCCCAAACUCCUACGGGAGGCAGCAGUGGGGAAUAUUGCACAAUGGGGGAAACCCUGAUGCAGCGACGCCGCGUGAGUGAAGAAGUAUUUCGGUAUGUGAAAGCUCUGUCAGCAGGGACGAUAAUGACGGUACCUGACUAAGAAGCCCCGGCUAACUACGUGCCAGCAGCCGCGGUAAUACGUAGGGGGCAAGCGUUAUCCGGAUUUACUGGGUGUAAAGGGAGCGUAGACGGCUAGAUAAGUCAGAUGUGAAAACCCAAGGCUCAACCUUGGGACUGCAUUUGAAACUAUCUAGCUAGAGUGCAGGAGAGGUAAGUGGAAUUCCUAUUGUAGCGGUGAAAUGCGUAGAUAUUAGGAGGAACACCAGUGGCGAAGGCGGCUUACUGGACUGUAACUGACGUUGAGGCUGGAAAGCGUGGGGAGCAAACAGGAUUAGAUACCCUGGUAGUCCACGCUGUAAACGAUGAAUACUAGGUGUUGGGGAGCAAAAGCUAUUCGGUGCCGCCGCUAACGCAUUAAGUAUUCCACCUGGGGAGUACGUUCGCAAGAAUGAAACUCAAAAGAAUUGACGG